GGGGCGCGGGGGCGGGGGGGAUUGUAUGAUUGUUUCAGUUUGCUUUGCUGAUUCAGUAAGUUUCAGCAAAAACCGAUAAAGGAUGUAUCAGUGUUUGGCCUUUUUUGGUGCAGUGCCUAAGAGAGAGAGUAUGUCUCCAGUAAGCUUCAGUAAGUUAGCUUUGCUAUUUUACAUCUGCUUGUUGCUAAAAGAAUUAGAUUGGUAAAUGAAGUUGGUAUGGGCAAGGGAGCUAGCCAAGUUUGAACCAAAACCACGAUAAGUCCAUUUAGAGAGAUGCAAUUCUUUUAGGAGGAUGAUGGCAUACCUGCUUCACUCCACUUUGCAUUUUAUACAGGCGGAUGGCAUCCCAUCGGGUCUCACUAACAUGAUCUAUCGUGUUAGCUUCCUUUUCCCUUUUAGCUUGGUCUUUUGUUCGAUACGUGCGAGGCUGCGAAUUAAGAAUAGAGCAGCUCCUAAAGAUGACACAACUCUUCCAUCUUCUUUUUAUGUGGGAUCCACUUUUUAGCUGAUGCAAAAGUCAGUUUGUUAGCUGUUCUAAUAUCUUUCUAAGCUGGUUGAUUCUGGUGGUGAUUAUUUGUACGGCGAAAUUGAUGAAGAUGGUAUUAUUUCAAGCGAUGGUGUUAGUUUCUGUUUUUCUCUUCAUUUGAAUCAGUGUUUAUGUGUUGGGUGGUAAACUGGUGUUGUGUUUCUUUUCUUUUCAGACUUUCUUGAAUUCAAAGAAAGACAAAGCCCUGAAUGAUCCAUUAUUUGGCUUCUGUUUUAAUCUUGAUUUUUGUAUCUAGGUGUUUAGUUUUCUGCAUAUAGUGUCAGGUUCUAGGAUCUGCAGGCCAUGGAAGCUUUGUUCGAGCGCACGUGAGGAGAGAUGUUGAAGCCGCCAUGAGAUGAAGGUGUGCCAGGUGAGAUGCCAAUGUGCUGGUGCUGUGCGAUGCAGCAACGUGAGAUGCGGCCGGCAACGUGCGUGGAAGACUUGGAGGUGAUGGCCUGCAUAGUGUACCGAGUGAUUCGGUUGUGGUGCUUGUGCAUGAGUUUGUUAGAUGCAUGAAGUAGUUGGCCAAGUCCUGUGCCGUUGCCUAGUUGGAGAGAUUCCAGGAAGGAAGGAGGCGUGGGACGUGGGCUUUGUUAGGGGCAUGAGACCCGGUAGGGAUUAGUUAGUUUUCUAACGUGUGCAUGGCUAUUUAAGGCAUUGUAAUAGGCUUGUUAUGGUAACAGAAGGAGAAUAGAAAGAGGAGAAAACGUUGGUCCUGUGAGAGGCAGGCCGAACCCAAAAUCUUGCCUUCCUUCUGUUCGUGGUGUUGCCAAGAAACGAGAGAGAGGGAGCUGCAGCGACAGAGAAGAAGAACUGGAGUUGCAGAUUCCUGCUGCGGCAGAAAACCAGGCUGGAGCUGCGUGAGGCAGCUUGACGAGGAAGAAGAGGAGCAGUGCCGGUCUGCUCCAACAGCUUCUUCAGGCAUGAUCUAAGGCCGUAAAAUCUCUAAAAAGGAACUGCAGCACUUCUUGCAGGGAUAGGAAUUUCAGUUAUCAGCAUGAAAAGCACAGGGUUCUUGGGAUUGGCAGGUCUGCCUUUAGCAGAUUUGACAUGAAAUAUUCCUCUAAGGUGCUGAAAAACUUGACAGCUCAUGAAAGGAGUGGCCAUGAGCUUCCCCUUCAUGUUGUACAGAAUCAGAUUGCAUGCUUUCAGAGUUGUUGGUUUCUUGAAUUUUUUCAGAUUGUUAUGUUGUUUCCAUGAAUUCUUGAACAACCUGCAAAAAGGGUUUUAUAAGACCUUGUAUAUUCUGUGUUCUCGUUUGCCUUUUUUCGGGUUUUCCUUGUAAACUCCUGGGCUGUCUUUCACGACCCUCUUCGGCAAUAAAUGGAUUGUUAUAUCU